GACGAACGCUGGCGGCGUGCCUAAUACAUGCAAGUAGAACGCUGAAGGAGGAGCUUGCUCUUCUGGAUGAGUUGCGAACGGGUGAGUAACGCGUAGGUAACCUGCCUGGUAGCGGGGGAUAACUAUUGGAAACGAUAGCUAAUACCGCAUAACAGUAGAUGUUGCAUGACAUUUACUUAAAAGGUGCAAUUGCAUCACUACCAGAUGGACCUGCGUUGUAUUAGCUAGUUGGUGGGGUAACGGCUCACCAAGGCGACGAUACAUAGCCGACCUGAGAGGGUGACGGCCACACUGGGACUGAGACACGGCCCAGACUCCUACGGGAGGCAGCAGUAGGGAAUCUUCGGCAAUGGACGGAAGUCUGACCGAGCAACGCCGCGUGAGUGAAGAAGGUUUUCGGAUCGUAAAGCUCUGUUGUAAGAGAAGAACGAGUGUGAGAGUGGAAAGUUCACACUGUGACGGUAUCUUACCAGAAAGGGACGGCUAACUACGUG
rnacentral:rRNA from 1 species